GGUUUAAUUCGAUGAUACGCGAGGAACCUUACCCGGGCUUGAAUUGCAGAGGAAGGAUUUGGAGACAAUGACGCCCUUCGGGGUCGUCUGUGAAGGUGCUGCAUGGUUGUCGUCAGCUCGUGCCGUGAGGUGUCGGCUUAAGUGCCAUAACGAGCGCAACCCCUCUCCUUAGUUGCCAUCAGGUGAAGCUGGGCACUCUGGGGACACUGCCACCGUAAGGUGUGAGGAAGGUGGGAUGAC
rnacentral:rRNA from 1 species